rnacentral:rRNA from 1 species
AUGAGAGAGUACCCAGAUAAUCCCAUACCAUGGUUACGCACUAGCCAGAUGCAAUCCAGAAAUUCCCCGCGCACUACUCAUACGCUCGCCCAUACGCUUUCUGUUCAAAAAUCAGGCAUUGGCCGGGCAAUGGUCAGAAACAGCCCGGACAGUGGCUCGACCUUGACCCCGCGCUGCUCCGCCGCGGCCGCAGCUUCACGUCACACUUGCUCCCGCGCGCCCCUGCGGCCCACCGUGCCCGCUGCAGCCUCGCCUGCGUGCUCGCGACCCCCUCCUCUCCAGCACGGGUCUGUCAGCCGCGUUCCUACCAGCUCCUCUGCGCCCACGUGCGCCCCGUCUCCUCAGCUGCGGCACCAUGCCGCCGGCCCGCCGCUGCCGGCCACAGCCGUGUUCGUGCGCGCCGGCUGCUUUGCGCCGCCUCCCCGCCCGCUGCCCUUGACCGUGUGCGUCCGCAUCACCUCUGGCCGGCUGCCGGCUGGCUGCUCCUCCGGUCUGCCCCGCCAGCCGACUGGGUUGCCGCUGCCGCCUCCCGCGCCCGCCGGCUCCGUCCGGCCUCAUGCUCCGAGCCGGCUCCGGCUGCGCCUGCUUCGCCCCGUCCUCGGCCGCCUCCGCGACCCGGCCUCCGCCUUCCGCCGCAACCCGGCAGGCCGGUUCCUCCCCGUGCCGGCUUCCCCGCGCGCCGCCUCGAGCGGGAGGCUUGUCCGCCUCGCCGCAGUGGCCGACCACCGCCGCCUCGGCCGACUGUGGCUCCUGCGCCAGCCGGCCUCGCCUGCUCGCCCGCCUUCGUCCGCGGCGCGGCUCCCCUGCUCCGCACGCGCGUGCCUGCCUGCUCCUGCGCCGGCUGUGGUGGGCCCGGCCGGCUCCGGCCUCCUCCUACGCCUGGUCACACUCGCGUCCGCCUACCGCGCCUGUAGGCCCCGUUCGGCCUGCGCCCGCAUCCUCCGUCGCCGACUACCAGAACAAAGAUAA